GAUUCUGGCUCAGAACGAACGUUGGCGGCGUGGAUUAGGCAUGCAAGUCGAGGGAAUGCCCGCAAGGGUGGAACCGGCGUAAGGGGCAGUAAGGCAUGGAUAACUUACCCCUGGGGAUUUGGCAUAGCUCGUAGAAAUACGAGGUAAUUCCAAGCGAUGUGAUUGGGGGGCAUCCUCUGGUCACCAAAGGUCCGCUGUCCUGGGAGAGGUCCAUGUGAUAUUAGCUAGUUGGUGAGGUAACGGCUCACCAAGGCGAAGAUGUCUAGCGGGUGUGAGAGCACGACCCCGCGCCACUGGCACUGAGACACUGGCCAGACACCGUACGGGUGGCUGCAGUCGAGGAUCUUCGGCAAUGAGCGCAAGCUUGACCGUAGUAAACACGAACGGUAGCAUUUAUCCUUGUGAUA
rnacentral:rRNA from 1 species